UACGGGGGGUGCAAGCGUUGUUCGGAUUUACUGGGCGUAAAGGGCGCGUAGGCGGCACCGCAAGUCGACUGUGAAAUCUCCGGGCUUAACUCGGAAAGGUCAGUCGAUACUGCGGGGCUAGAGUGCAGAAGGGGCGACUGGAAUUCUCGGUGUAGCGGUGAAAUGCGUAGAUAUCGAGAGGAACACCUGCGGCGAAGGCGGGUUGCUGGGCUGACACUGACGCUGAUGCGCGAAAGCUAGGGGAGCGAACGGG
rnacentral:rRNA from 1 species